GGCACUUGGGAGACAUCCACAGAAGCUCUGAAGAGGUACACAACUGAGGUACUGAGAUGGUUUAUUUAUGCUCGGCCCAGGGAGUGGCACUAUUAGAAGGUGUGGCCCUGUUAGAGUAGGUGUGGCCUUGUUGGAGUAUACGUGUCACUAUGGGUGUGGACUUUAAGACCCUCAUCCUAGCUUCCUGGAAGCCAGUAUUCUGCUAGCAGCCUUCAGAUGAAGAUGUAGAACUCUCAGCUCCUCCUGCACCAUGCCUGCCUGGAUGCUGCCACGCUCCUGCCUUGAUGAUAAUGGACUGAACCUCUGAACCUGCUCUGUCUUUAGCUCUCAGAAAUCUACUCGGACCCCCAAAUCCAGGUCACUGACCAUCAGCAAGGCCAGCCUUCACUAGAUGCCCUGCUUGAUUCAGAGUGGCCAUGUUCACAGUUCGAAAGUGUGGAGAGUCCAAGUCAGCCUCUGAAGAGAGCCUGUGUCCUGGUUCAUGGAGUGACUACAUCUUCUGGCUGUGUUCUCACAUAGCAGAAAGGCGGGGCAGCUCUCUAAAGCCUUUCACAAAGUGCUUGAAUCCCAUGCAUGAGGACUCAGUGGCAAGGCCCUAUCAGCCUGCCUCCUGAUAUCAUCCCUUGGAGAUUAGACUCCUGCUUGUGGACUCAGGGUUGGAACAUUCAGUUUAUGGCAGUGAGGAUAACUUGUCAGUGGUAAUAUGAGUAAUGAAAGAAAUCAAAGACAGGGCAGACUUUUUGUGGCCUUGGUUGUCUUUUUUGAUGACUUGUAAAAAUUCCAGUAAAACAUGCCUAGCCUAAAAGUUUCCAUGUCCUUUUAAAGGAUGUAGUUCUGUGGUAUCAGUCAUAUCUUUAUGCCCUGCAAGCCAUUGUCACCACCCCUAUUCAGAAUUUCCAAGGAUUCAAAACUGAAUUCUGAUGCUAUUAAAGGACCAGUGAAGGUUUUAAAUUAAAAAAAAAAAAUCUGACUCAAAA